AUUGAACGCUGGCGGCAGGCCUAACACAUGCAAGUCGAGCGAGCGGCGGACGGGUGAGUAAUGUCUGGGAAACUGCCUGAUGGAGGGGGCUAACUACUGGAACCGGUAGCUAAUACCGCAUACCAUCAGAUGUGCCCAGAUGGGAUUAGCUAGUAGGUGGGGUAACGGCUCACCUAGGCGACUAUCCCUAGCUGUUCUGACAGGAUGACGAGGCACACGGGCGCUGAGACACGGUCCAAACUCCGACGUGAGGCAUCAGUGGGUAUUCUUGCGCAAUGGGCGCAAGCCAAAUGCAGCCAAGCCGGUUGUGUGAGAAGGGCCUUCGGGUUGUAAAGCACGAUCAGCGUGGAGGCGUUACCCGAAGAAGAAGCACCGGCUAACUCCGUGCCAGCCGCCGCGGUAAUUC
rnacentral:rRNA from 1 species